UUCGCGCAAUCCAUAGUCCACAGUUUUCGCUUAAUCCCCGGCCGCAUCCCAGUUCCAUCCCGCGGCGCAAUCCAUUGACUCCCUGCCGCAUCCCAGUUCCAUCCCGGCAGCAUCCCAGGAACGCGCCCGUGUUCUCCAGGAGCAACAGCACGAGUAAUGGCACCGCGGAGGAGGCGGCAGGGGCUGGGGAGGAGCUGCCCAGUCCCGUGAACGGCGGCGCGGCGCCGUUCUUUCCUCGUCAGGCCGGAGACGCGCUCUUGGACGACUUGCAGCUGCAGGAGCAGCUCGCGUUCCUCAACGAGGGCGGCGGGAACCCGGCCCACCAGCUCCAGGGGUUCGACGGCGUGGAGUGUCGGAGCCCCGGCCCCGGUGAUGCCGAUGGGAUGUUCGCGUUCGGCCUCGGGUGGCACAACGGGGGCCCAGCGCACCGCAGGAGCUCGUCAGUCAACGAGCUCUGCCUUGGCGGCGGCGGCGGCGAUGGUUUCGGUUGGAAGCCCUGCCUCUACUACGCGAGCGGGUUCUGCAAGAACGGCGGCAGCUGCAGGUUCGUCCACGGCGGCCUCUCCGACGACGCUGUUGCGCUCGCUGGCACCAAGAUGGAGGCAGCGGCCGAUCAGCAGCAGCAGUGCCAGGACUUCCUCAUCCGCUCCAAGGGCCAGCGCCUCGGCCCCGCCGUCUUCCCCUACUCCCCCACCGGCUCCCUCCCAGGCUCGCCCUCCGCCGCUAGCAAGUGCCUCAGCUUCCUGCUGCAGCAACGGCAGCAGCACGACAGAGCCGCGGCGGCCGCGUCUCUGAUGCUGGGCGGCGGCGACGAGGCGCACAAGUUCAUGGCCCGGCCGCGCCUGGACCGUGCCGACUUCGCCAGCCUGAUGAAUCCCAGCUCGCGCCAGAUUUAUCUGACCUUCCCGGCCGACAGCACGUUCCGCGAGGAGGACGUCUCCAACUAUUUCAGCAUCUACGGUCCAGUUCACGACGUGCGCAUCCCCUACCAGCAGAAGCGCAUGUUCGGGUUCGUCACCUUCGUCUAUCCAGAGACCGUGAAGCUCAUCCUGGCCAAGGGCAACCCGCACUUCAUCUGCGACACACGCGUGCUCGUCAAGCCGUACAAGGAGAAGGGCAAGGUCCCCGAUAAGUACAGGCAUGCAUUGCGAAUUCAUCCUUGGCUUCCAGCAACGGCAAUGGCGUCCGUGCAUGCACAUAUGCAGUUGCUCGGGUUAAUUGAUCUGCUGUUCUCGGCUCGCAGGAAUGUAACACCCCGUCCAAUCCCUGGACCGGCGGUACUUACUCCUGGCAGCUCUCUAGGAUCAUAUAUUGUCCCCACAGACCAACACGAGUCUUUUGUGCGCACUUUGUCCUCACUCAUGGGCACCCGAGAAAACUUCCCGGUCAGUCACCCAUCCCAAAUUGCUCCAAGCCAAGCACGCUUAACUUGGAGGUUCUUUCGAGACAGGCUUCCGAAAAAGAAGAUGCACCUUGUUGGUAUGAUUACACUAUUAAUUCUAUUAAGCCUUGGGCCAGGACAUCCCAUCCCAGGGGGCAGGAUAUCACAAUCCACCCCCCUUAGAAGACCGAUGUCCUCGUCGGUCAACCCCAAUCCAGGAACCUCCCCUCUUGGCCACGUCUGUAUGUCUAGUGUCGUCAUAUGUCAUGCCAUGUGACCACUCUAGGCCCACAUGCGCCAUGCGCCAUAUACCCGAACCCCCUAGCCCACACACGCCCGUGAAACCGCGAGGGUCGGCUCUGAUACCACUUGUAACACCCCGUCCAAUCCCUGGACCGGCGGUACUUACUCCUGGCAGCUCUCUAGGAUCAUAUAUUGUCCCCACAGACCAACACGAGUCUUUUGUGCGCACUUUGUCCUCGCUCAUGGGCACCCGAGAAAACUUCCCGGUCGGUCACCCAUCCCAAAUUGCUCCAAACCAAGCACGCUUAACUUGGAGGUUCUUUCGAGACAGGCUUCCGAAAAAGAAGAUGCACCUUGUUGGUAUGAUUACACUAUUAAUUCUAUUAAGCCUUGGGCCAGGACAUCCCAUCCCAGGGGGCAGGAUAUCACAAGGAAGCAGCAGCAAGGGGACUUCUCCGGCUACACGACGCCCACUGGCGGGCUGGACGCCCGAGAUCCCUUUGAUCUGCACCAACUCGGCGCGAGGAUGCUGCAGCAUUCGAACAGCGCCAACGAGCUGCUCUUGCGCCGGAAGCUGGAGGAGCAGCAGCAGGCUGCCGAACUUCAGCACGCCAUUGAGCUCCAGAGCCGCCGCCUCAUGGGUCUCCAGCUGCUCGACCUCAAGGCUCGCGCAGCUGCGACAGCAGCAGCGGCAUCGGCACUGCCAACACCAGUUGUCAAUGCCUUCGCGUCCAUCCAUCCUUUGAGCACCAUGGCAGUCGAGUCGCCACUAGAGUCUGGAGAGCAGCUCAAGCUGAGCAGUGGGUUUGCUCUAGAGGGGAAGCUCAACGGGUGGCGACAAGGAAGAAUCUGCUUGCGAGGCGAGCCCUGACGCCGCUGAUAGCGACCAAAGGUGGAUUAAACAACCCAUUUCAUCAUUCUUCUUCCUUGUUAGUUAUGAUUCCCACGCUUGCCUUUCAUGAAUCAUGAUCCUAUAUGUAUAUUGAUAUUAAUCAGUUCUAGAAAGUUCAACAACAUUUGAGCAUGUCAAAACCUAAUCGUUGCCUGUUCCAUGUCAACAGUGGAGAUCACAACUUGCCGGACAGCCCAUUUGCGUCCCCUACCAAGUCUGACGUGCUCGUGCACGACAGUUUCGCCGCCACGGAGCCUGAGAACACCGCGUCCCUUGUUGGGAGCAAGAUCGACGGCGGCAGUAACCAUCUCCGCCCCCCUGCGCUGGAAAUCCCUUCGCCCAGCUCCUACUUCUUCCCCAUGCGCAGGCUAUCCUCCGAUCACGGAGCCAUGGGGAUGUAAAGUUCAGCAUUGGAAGCGAGUGAUACCCCAGCCUAAUCAUAGAAUACUAGAAGCCAAGGAAAAGUGAUGAUGGAUAUAUAGGAAAAA